GGUAUUUGUUGGUAUUUGUGCUAACCAGGAUCUGUUUAUCAGUUUAUGCUAACCGGGAGAAAGUAAUAUUGUAAAGUUGGAUUUGUGAACAGAAGUGAGUACGUCAGUUUAUACCUACGGAUAUCAGUCUAUUUUGAUUUGCAUGUAUAUAUCAUAACUAAUUUAGUAAUUUACAUUGUAUUCACAUAUUUAGAUCGAAUAAAAUAUCUGUACGAUACAUAAAUCCAGCUUCUGUGGUCUGAAGUUCUGGCGAACCAGUAAGUACAGAUACAGCCGAUUCCGUUUGACCGUGAAACAACACGCGUUCGCAAAGCACGUUGAGCUGUUCAAAAUUGACCGUUUCUAGCAACAUAUUGUAAACACUGGACUGGACUUUGGACUAUGGACUUUGGACUUUCGAUUUUGAAAUUAUAUUUUUAAGAUUUUCGUAUAAUUAUAUUAAUUAAAAUCUAAACAGAGAACGAAAAUUUGUGCAUGAUAUAAUAUUCAAGGUAAAAAAUACUAUCAGUUAUAUAGGUAUACCAGUGCAAUUUCAUAGAUAUAGCCUGUGGGAUAACAGGAUCAUCUCAGUAAUAUUUUUUAUUUAAUAUUU